AAGAAAAUCAGCUUUAUUUUGAGAGGCUAGGGACAUAGUCAUGAUCAAUUACAGAGGUUAAUUUGAUUAUAAAUUGAGGUACCUGAUCUCCGUGUUGUCGAUGGCGCCAGCCUAUAUCUGUCUGAAGAUGCACAUCCCCUACACUGAUAGUUGCAAUUUGAAGUGAUGGCAUGACUUGCUUAUGUUGGAGAAAUGUGGAUUAUACCUGAUGCCAUGGUGAAAGUAUAUUUGAGGAUCGUCCUAAACACCUUAGUCUCGUCUUCUGAUCACCUUUCGAUCCCGUAUCUGGACCGAGUCCUAUGGUUCUAGUUCAAAUAACCGGACUGCAGUUGUGUAAUUACAAUGGUUAUAUCUCUUAGAAUGGUGGAACUAUGAUGGGUUCGUAGGCUUGUCAUUCAUCACCACCAAAGAGACCACACAAACUCUUUUGUUUGAUGUGAUUUCUUAACUUAGUCCGUUUAUUCCACAUAAGAUGAGGUUGUGAGGUUCUGAUUGCGGUUGGUUUCGAUGUCUUGAGAUGCGUGCUUAGACAGUAGAAUGAACUUUGGAGGGUGUAGCCAAUUCCUACGUAGUAUUUUUGUGCCCUCCGCCUCAGGACACCUACAUUUUUCAUUGGUUGCACUCUGAACUUCUUAUUCACUCAGAAGAAUUGUGAAAUUGGCUCUUGAUGCGUUAUUCUCUCUCUCUUCAUACAUAUAUUGAUUGCGGUGUCUUGAGCUCUUUCAGGAUCUCAUCGUAGUCAUUUUUGUUCUUGUCUCUACUAUCUAGUUAAUUCCAUUAUGAAGGUCUCUCCUCCAACAUGCUAUUAUUCUGAUAACGGCAUAAUUCACCGAAUCGAUUAGAUUGCUCAGCGGGUGCAUUCAAUGGAAAGUAACAGUGAUCAGUUGCCCUGUAAUUCACUUGCUUCUAUUGACGGUGAUCCUACACCUGCAGAUUCACCUGUGAAGGAAAGAUGUUUUGACCAGAGAGAAGCACUUCCUGGGGAGCCACGCUGUGUUAUUUGUGGACGCUAUGGGGAAUACAUAUGCGACCAAACCAAUGAUGACAUCUGCAGUGUAGAAUGCAAAACUAUCCUUCUUUCUAGACGUGCUGAUACUAAGAAGCCAGAAAUAAAAUCCAAAAAGCCCAGGAACUUUCCCUUUCAUGACGAGUGCUUCUAUGUUAAAGAUGACAGGUGCUCCAACCUGCAGGGCGAAACCACUGAACAAAUUGCUUCUUUAAGAAGCAAAAUUGACAUUUCUGUUAAGGGACAGAGCAUUCCAGAUCUGAUUUUAUCCUUCUCUUCUUGCAAUCUCCCUGCUAAGCUCGAACAUAAUCUUGAAAGUGCUGGAUAUGUUAUUCCUACCCCAGUCCAGAUGCAAGCCAUUCCUGCUGCACUUAGUUGUAGAAACUUGCUUGUUUCUGCUGAAACUGGUUCUGGUAAGACAGCUGCUUUUCUAGUUCCAAUAAUCUCCCACUGUUCGCAAAUCCGGUCGCAACAUGUUACUGACCGGAAGAAUCCAUUGGCAAUGGUUCUUGCUCCAACUAGAGAGCUGUGUGUGCAGAUAGAGGAGCAAGCUAAGUUGCUUGGAAAGGGCCUACCUUUUAGAACUGCCCUUGUUGUUGGAGGAGAAGCCUUGGCUGGGCAGAUAUACCGAAUAGAGAGUUGCAUAGAAUUAAUUGUGGGUACCCCUGGAAGGCUAAUUGAUCUCCUUUCUAAACAUAAUGUUGAACUCGGUGGGAUUUCUGUCUUGGUUCUGGAUGAAGUAGACUGCAUGUUGCAGAAAGGGUUCCGCGAUCACGUCAUGCAAAUAUUUUGUGCACUAUCAUCCCCUCAGGUAUUGAUGUUCUCUGCGACGAUUUCUCUAGAGGUUGAAAAGAUGGUUCGUUCUAUUGUUAACGACUUGAUAUAUAUUCUUUGCGGGAGCACAAACAGACCAAACAAAUCAGUGAAGCAAAUUGUUAUUUGGGUCGAUCCUAAACAGAAGAAACAAAAGCUUUUUGAGAUAUUGAUGAGCAAGCAGCAUUUUAAGCCCCCUACUGUGGUGUUUGUAGGUUCAAGACUAGGAGCUGAUCUUUUGUCUCAAGCAAUUACACUUGCUACUGGAUUGCGAGCUCUCUCAAUUCAUGGGGAGAAGAUGAUGAAUGAGAGGAGAGAGAGUUUGAGAAUGUUCUUGACAGGAGAAGUUCCCAUAAUUGUGUCUACAGGGGUUUUGGGCCGUGGGAUGGAUCUUUUGAAAGUACGGCAGGUGAUAAUAUUUGACUUGCCAAAUUCUAUUGAAGAUUACAUUCAUCAAGUGGGAAGGGCUUCUCGAAUGGGGGAUGAGGGUACAUCAAUUAUCUUUGUGAAUGAGGAGGACAAGAAGCUGUUUAAGGAGCUUGUGCAGACUCUAAAGUCUGCAGGAGCUGCUAUUCCGCGAGAGCUAGCAAAUUCGAAGUACUUAAUGGGUACUUUCUCUGUUAGUGGUAGAAAGAAGAGAAAGUUUGGUUCAUAGGGUCUUUGCUUGGUUACAAAAGAUGAGUUUCCUCCAAGGUUCCAGCCACUUGGUUAGAGGAGAGCUGUUUUUUCUAGAACUCUGUGGCAACAACUAAAAACUAUCACAGGGAGUAGUUUUUUGGGGAAAAAGAUACUGGUGACUUGUACAGUAAAAAGAGCAAGAAAUUUUCAUGCCACUGCAACAAUAGUGAAAUAAAACAUCCAUGCAGACUGCAUUACUGCUCUAAUGGUCACCCUAGGCUUCUUCAGAUGUCAGAAGUUCCAAAUCAGGAAAAUGUGGUCGAAAUCCUGUAAACUGGAGGAUAUGAUGUCAAUCCAUAUCUAAUCACCUGAUGGAUGUGUCUGAAUCGAUGUGCAGAUUCAAUUAUUGGGCCAUUGGCUUCGGCUUGGAGGAAUGAUAUAUUCACCAUGUGUUAGACAUCGCAUACACAAUCAAUGGGGACAUUGUAAUCUGCAGGAACAGCUAAUCAACACAUCUUUGUGAGGAUGGGAGCUCAUCAAGGUAAGCGCGUGGGAACUAGUUUUUCCAUGGUCUUUAGUUUUGUGCUCUUAUAGGUUAGACGACAUGCUUUUUAUCUGUUUUGCUUAUUUUUGACUACUGACUUAUGCUUCUUAAGACCUGUAAUAUUUUUAUUCAUCACAUUUUUCGUAUAAUUGUCAUGUUGUUUAAUAUCUCAAUUGACAAUUAAUCUAAAUUCCAGCCGCUAUCAUCAAUUAGGUCAUUUCAUUGGUUGUUGUCAA